GUUGUCUUGUUUUAUAUUAAUGAAUAAAGCCACUCUCUUUUGUAUGUGGCAGAGUCUGUCACCCACCUCUCCUUGGUCUCUCUGUUGUAUGUGAGUCUGUCACCCACCUCUACUUUGCUGUGGUGAAUCUGGAACCAUCAGUGUCCAAUAAUCUUACUCUGAACCCAAGGGAGUCUCUCAUAGGUCUGGGCUGGGUUUGGCCUUGGAAUGAUCUGGACCACAGGUGUAAGGUACCCCUUCAUUGGACAAGGUGUAUCAGUGAUUCAGGACUCCUACAUUGUGAGAAACAAAGAUGGAAUCUUGCACAACACAAAGUUAGAAUCAAAACUACAGCACAGAGUUUCGUAUUAGCUAACUCUAUUAAACCCCAAUAUUGUUUCAGUUGUUUCUUAAUCAAACAUGUCUUCCUCUCUCCCUUUUUUAACUUUGCCUUGCUCUAGGGACCUCCCAUUAAGCUCAUUUCUGUCUCAUCCAUCAAUGUUUCACAACAAUCUGGGAUUCACUCCCCAAGCCACUACUCAUCAUAUUCCCUAAGUCAAGGAUCUAUGAGCUCACUCAUUUUCCCAAGAGAGUCAAGGACAAGCCACAGGUCCUUCUGUCCUCAAUAUGAGAUAACAACACCCACUCAUUGCACUGACCAUGGGAACAGUAGUGGAGCCAGAGCAAGAGUGUAGUUCAUCGGUCUCUUAACAAUUAAAUGUGGAAAAAUCAAAGACAAACAGACUGUUUGGGAUAAUAAUAUGAGCCCUGGUUUAAUGUUUCAUCAAUUAACUCUCAAUGAAUAUACAAGUGAUCACACAGUGAGAUGUUUCGUCUACUCAUCAGGUUAAUGUGAAAUAACAUUUUAUGAAAAUAACCCCACAUCAGAGUUAACAGUUUCGUCAUCUCAGUUUCAAUCUUAUCUUUUUUUUGUCCUUUGACUUCUUUUCGAAGGGUUUUCUAUAUAUAUAUAUAUAUAUAAAAAAUGUCGUACAAUACAAUAUUAUAACAAUGAAACAACAAUAAAACCUGUACAAACCAUAAUCAACUAUUAUUUGCAAAACCUCAACGCGGUAGACACGUACAGCUCAGGAGCCUUUCUCAAAGCCUUUCACAUAUCACUUGAUUUCCGGUGAAACAAUCCACGCUGGCCUUGCGCUUUUAAUUCAAAAUGUCGGCCGAAGGCGUGCCUAGCACAUGGGGUGUAUCCUUUACAUCGGAGAUAAGCGCGUGACUGUUGUUCUGAGUAGACGAGGUUUUGUCCUCGGUGCGCACCAACUGGAUAGGCUAGAACGUGUUUGAGACCAGCCUUGUCUACACUCGCAAUAGACUCAAAAUCGUUUCUACCUUUAAUGUGCACUAGGUCCAUCAGCGCAAGCAACAACGAACAUGAAGGGUUUUGCUCUAUAGUGUCAGCGUCCCGGAUCCCCAUACUCCUGAUAGUCUUGUAGAUGUGUUUCCGUUUGUAUAUUUUCUCUCUUUCGGAUAGUCCCUCUUGCACUGUGGUCUACGGUUUAUGGGUUGAGGCAGUCGCGUACCUCUCGAAGCCUCGCAGGAUACAACGUCGAUGUGGCUGGUGUAAGGGCUUUUAUAAGACAGACUUGGAAUGAGAUAAUUUACCAUUGCUUGGAUAAGAGAACGUUGAACCACAGUAAACUCAACACUGGUUGGAUGUCCAAACACGGCUCAUCUAUCCACCCACCGCCCAUUUAUCCACCCACCGCCCAUCUAUCCACACACGGCUCAUAUAUCCAAACACGGCUCAUUUAUCCACCCACAGCUCAAUCUUUCCCGGUUGUCGGGAUAACGAGUGUUUGUUCCAAUAGCAAGCCAUUUUAACGUAAUGUAUUCGCUAGACUUGACUAUAUGAAAUUAACAUGACAGAUAUUAACACCGUAAUACUGACUAGACGUAAUUACAUUGUGACUAGUCAGAAUUUUGAUUCAAGAUAUAUGUAACGUUCUUCUGACUAGUCAAAACACCAGUUAAAGAUGUCUGUAAGUCAAUUUUGACAAGUCAAAACUGAAUUACAAAUAUCAGAAGUGACCUCACUGAAAACGACACUCGACCUUCAUACAUCCCAAAUGGAAAUUGCAGAAUUUUGUUUGGACUAGUCAAAAUUAUAGUUGCAGAUAUCUCAAAUGUCCUUAUUUCGAAUUGUUUUGCAUGACGUUUCUCAUGCGAGGCAUCAUCAUAUUGGUCCAGCAACGCUUUUCGGUGUUAGCAGCAAUGGCAGUUUCAGUUGUGGAUAGUUAAAAAAUGUAAUGAAAUAAAACGAGCUUAUCAUCUGAGAUUUAGAGGUGAACAAGAGUUUUUUUUUUUAAUCGACUUUUGAAAGAAAGUAAAUCUUCUGUAUUUCCUGCUAAAAGCGCCUGUCGUGCACUGGCUGAAGCCAUACAUAUUUUAUCUAAAACUAGAACUUCGGCCUCACGCAGGUCUGACAUGGCGGUUAAUGCUUGCCAUACGGUGGAAGAGUAGUUACAUAUGUUUGAAUACAAGCAAGCCACUUACUCCCGCUCCUGACUCCUACAUGUAACUACAGAUAUCUGUAAUUACAUUUUGACUUGGCAGAAUGAAAGUAAAAUAUAUCUCCAAUUUGAAAAAUAUUCAAAGAUAUCUAUAACUUGAUAAUAGAUUUCUACAAUUACAUUAUGACUGGCUGUAAUUCCAGUUUCAGAUAUCUUCAAUUUAAUUAAUACUAGUUAGAAUUCCAGUUCAAGAUAUUUACAACUGAUUUAUGACUAAUUACAACAUUAUUUAAGAUAUUGCAAAAUAAUGAUCUAUAUAUCUUAAAUUUAGGGGGAUUUAAGAUAUCUUGAACUGGAAUCGUGACUGGUCAGAAUUAAAUUAUAGAUAUCUGGAACUGUAAUUACUAUAGUCAUAAUUGGUUUGAAUAUAUCAACAAUAGACAUUUCGGAUAUCUGCAACUUCAUUUAAAGAUAUCUGUAAUGAGAAACCUCAUAGACAUGAAUGGCAAUAGUAAUUUAAAACUGACUAGUCAAAACAGAAUUACAGAUAUCUUCAAUUGUCGUUUUGACUAGUCAUAAUGACGUUAUAGAUAUCUUGCAGUUCUGACUUGGCGAAAUUAUGUUGCAUUCAUGUGUAAGAAAUAUCCAGUCUAGCGAAUACAUGUUAAAACGGCUUGCUAUAUGUUCCGAUCGUGGACCUGCUGCUGUCGUAAUAGACGAGGUUGUUUUUCAGAGUCCUGCGUAACCACUGGAAUAUGUUUGAGACCAGCCUUGUCCACACUCGCCAUAGACUCAAAGUCGUCUCCACCUUCAAUGUCCAAUUAGUCCAUCAGCGCAAGCAACAACGAACGCGAAGGCUCCUGAUAGUCUUUUAGAUGUUUUUCCGCUUUUCUCUCUUUCAGAUAGUCCCUCUUGUUUGCACAACAAGUUGACGACGUUAUCAAACAGUCCUUGUUCGCUUUCACAGCUAUAAACAUUUGGAAUCAGAGGUCACAUACCACGGAGGGUUUUCUGUCACGAUGAAUGUCGGUGUUUUAUCCCCCAUCUUGCUUUAUAUCGAUUAAUAAAGCCACUCGGUUUCCAGUGGAACUAUAAAGUAGGCUAUUGCGUUAUAAUUCAACCAGUCUUUACACAACACUAAACGCACUGUAGUAUACGGUGUAAGGGUUGAGCCAGCUACGCACCUCUCGAUGCCUCGCAGGCAGUAAUGUAACGGUUUUUACACGCCAGACUUGGGAUUAGAUCACUUACCCAGCUCGGUCACUGACAGAAGGACAAGAUUCUAGAUCUGAGAGUCUAGAGGGGGCGGAGCCACAACAUUUCACAACUACGGCUGUUUGAUCCAACCCAUGUUAGCAAAUUGGGUAACUGUCGAAACACGGAAUGUUGUGUGGAAAGGAUCUCAAGGAUGAGUGGUCGAUUGUGUUGUAGGAGACUCCUGCUUAAAUAAGGAAUCUAAAAGACUUGUUGCACUUAUUACAUCAGGGGUUCUCAAACUUUUUUGGACCAGGGACCCCUUACAGGGGACAACAUUUUUCAAGGACCCCCUAAUGAUUUUAAUACCGAUUAAGCAUGUGCUUACUAAAAUGUUUAGUCUUAGAUGCCAUUGGAAAUAUUUGAAUUCUAAAAGCUCUGAACAAAUCAUAAAAUAAGUUAUCAACAGUGUUACAGAACACAUCAUAGUAAUUAAACCUAUUACUUUAGAAGAGUUUGUACAUUAGGGCUAUACGUCACAUUCUUAUCUCACACAGUUCACAGUAACUCACUUAAUGAUUUCAUUCUUAAUGAGAUGGCUCUGCCAUUCUCUCACCACACAGUUCAUCCACUCUUGGAGGGAUGGAUGACUGGCAGACUCAGAUUGUUCUCCACAUGCAAACGAGCUCUGUGCUUAGUCUACAUUGCAGUCAAAGUUGAGAAUGCUGACUCACAGAGGUAUGGAAAGAGAAGGGAAAAUACUAGUUUUUGGAUAAAAUGAAUGGGCCAACAUUGUACAUUGACGCAAUACUCACUCAAAGGGUUUUACUUCCCAAUUUGUCACCAAAUGCCCAGUAUUACUGGCUUCCCGUACAGACCUCCUGCCAAACUGCAAUUCACAGAAAAUGCUCUAGGGGCUCCCCGAGCUCCACCGCUCUGCAGUCAGCGGUUUUCCAGUCAGGCAGCAAGUCCUGGGCAGGUGACUGUGCUUUACACAGCAAAUGUUCAGUUUUACCACAAAUGUAUACACCCAAUGGCACCUUCGGUCCAAACCCAACAGAGUCAGAAUUUUGAUGUUUGCUAGUCAAAUGUACAUGUUUUACUGCCCAAUUGCACGACCAAUGGGAUUAUCCAUAAUACACUUCCAUCCAAACUCCACAGAGUCCAAAUUUGGAGGUUUGCUGGGCAAAUGUACAUGUUUUACUGCCCAAUUGUACCCCAAAUGGGAUAACCCAUAAUACACUUCGGUCCAUAAUCCCCUCAGUCCAUAUUUUUAUGUUUAUUGGGCAAAUGCACUUUAUUCUUCCAAAUUGUACGAUGGGGUACCUCACAUGCUCAUGUAGCACAGGAAAAACUGCAUAUUUCUGUCUGAAGUAAUAAAGGUGUGAUACAUUAUUUAGCCUUAUUCUUACCUCAUAUAAGGAUGAUGAGUACAUGCAGGUAUAGAAGAGACAGAGACAAUCAAAGACAUCUUGAUACACGGGAUGGGUACAGGGAUGGGUUGCAAUAUGUCACACAGGUAUAAAUCAUUUAGCUAAGUUAAAUAUCAAACUAAACUAAGCAAACCGUAUCAAUUCUUAGAACUAUACAGAGUAUUAAGAACAACCUUUGGUUCCUCUGCUUUAUAAUCUGGAUUUGAAUAUGUAGAUGACAGUACUGCAGACACAGCCACACACAGACAUACACAGACACACACAGACACACGCAUACACACGCAUACACACGCAUACACACAGAGUUAGUCAGGCCCUAAAUAAGGGUAUCAGUUCAAAGGGAGAGGUUGCAGGAGGUUUCACAUCACAUGGUUAUUCCCAAUUCGUGUCCAUACAUUGAGCUAGUGGUGCGCCACAAAGUCCUUACAGGACUCUGCAACAGUUUACCUAUUCUCCUGGUCCCUAAUAUAAAAGCUACUGCAAUACCAAAAAUAACACUCAACUAAUAAUGAAAUGGUGGAACUGAAUAUCAGAAAGAAAUAGGGACAGGGGCGGCAGCAGGCCGAAUCAGAGGUCACAUACUAUGGAGGGUUUUCUGUCACGAUUAAUUUAGGUGUUUUAUCCGUGUUAAUGUAUGUUGGUGAAUAAAGCCACAUGGUUUCCAAUAGAACUAUAUAGUCUGGCGUUAUAAAAAAAACAGUUUAUACUUGACGUAUCUUGACGUUAGCCUUACUUCUUAUGAUAACGCUAAGGCUAGAUUGUGACCUAAAGCACGGGAUUACCGGUAGCAAGCCUAAUUGAUUAAAAUGAAAAAUAAUCUACAAAAUUAACACUAUUUACAGUGCGCGAAACAGCCAAAUCGUUAAUACAUACAACAACCUAAUAAUAAAUAUACAUAAAACAAUAAGUGUUCAUUAACCAUAUUGUGGCAUUCUCACCCGAGCUCCUUGCGCCAUCUUUUCUUUUUCAGCAUCAACACCCACCGAGCAGCCGAGAUAAACGUCCUCACGUUUUGUGCGAAGUCUCUUCUAUAACGAUCCAUAUUUGGAAGAGUCAACCUCCGUCACGGGCGUGUGCGGCAGCAGCUGGACCCUUCUCGGAAACUCGCCUCCACCCAUUAGCUCUGAUUUUAUCUCAAAUCUAGACCUCAGAAAUACUGUAAAUUAACCAAAUAUUCCUCUAUCCUAAGACCCAUUUUUCUCCAUCUGCCCCCAUCCUGCAAUAGGUUUACGUUUACCUCAGCACCUCAUACUUCCUUUACCAGAGCACAACCGACAUUAUUUGUCUUAUCUAAACACGGGGACUCAAUACAUUAAUCAUUAAGAAUGCAUCAGUUCAAUAUAUUUCCAUAAAAACACAGCUAAUGUAUACAUUUCAAGAUAGCAAAUAUUACACCCUUAAAUUCGGAUGCUGUCCUUUUAUCAGAGAUCCUAUUCAAUGACAUUUACCUGAUGACAGAUCAACAGUCUAUCUUGGUGUGGCACUAAUCAAUGAUUAAACUGUUGGUUUGUGACCACGUUCUCUCCCUCCCUGCCUGUUCGUUCAUGUUUAUCACUUCCCUGCCAUGAUCAUACAUAUCACAAACCAAUAUUGAACAAACUUUAGCUAUAUCUAGAUGAUUCAAAACACCUAAACUGAAGGGGGAAAAUGCCAAGCUGUUGUAUUGAGAUUGUUACCAUGAACCUUUGGGCUACUUACACUACAUUCUUGACUGGCGGUGGCUCGUCCAUUACUUAGCUAGAUACUUGCAGACCAUAUAUGGUGAAGACUAAAACAGAGAUUGUGCAUAUCAUUUUAGCAGGCGUUCUUCCUUUCAAAUCAUUCACUAACAAUUUUUCACACAGCCAUAUGAACUACUCAGUGUUAUCUAGCAAGCAAGCUACUAGUACUGUACCGUUUGUUGGAUUAAACUUGAAAAUAAAGAUAGCUAGCUGACUACGUCUUAACUAUUUUAUAGCCAGAAGAAAGCUUAUAUUUUAUCACAUUCGCUCGUUCGUUCUAUAGCUAUGAACAUUUAUUGACGUUUAUACAUGUUGUACUUACUGUGAAAAUCAAACUUACAGCUACAGUAAUCCACUAAACCAGCCUAUACACAUUG
ensembl:lncRNA